UUUGCGUCGAAGGUAUACCGGUAAGGAGUGCUGGAGCGAAUAGAAGUGAGCAUGCAGGCAUGAGUAGCGAUAAUUAAUGUGAGAAUCAUUAACGCCGUAAACCCAAGGUUUCCUACGCGAUGCUCGUCAUCGUAGGGUUAGUCGGGUCCUAAGUCGAGUCCGAAAGGGGUAGACGAUGGCAAAUUGGUUAAUAUUCCAAUACCAACAUUAGUGUGCGAUGGAAGGACGCUUAGGGCUAAGGGGGCUAGCGGAUGGAAGUGCUAGUCUAAGGUCGUAGGAGGUUAUACAGGCAAAUCCGUAUAACAAUACUCCGAGAACUGAAAGGCUUUUUGAAGUCUUCGGAUGGAUAGAAGAACCCCUGAUGCCGUCGAGCCAAGAAAAGUUUCUAAGUUUAGCUAAUGUUGCCCGUACCGUAAACCGACACAGGUGGGUGGGAUGAGUAUUCUAAGGCGCGUGGAAGAACUCUCUUUAAGGAACUCUGCAAAAUAGCACCGUAUCUUCGGUAUAAGGUGUGGUUCGCCUUGUAUUAGGAUUUACUCCGAAAGCAAGGAAACUUACAACAAAGAGUCCCUCCCGACUGUUUACCAAAAACACAGCACUCUGCUAACUCGUAAGAGGAUGUAUAGGGUGUGACGCCUGCCCGGUGCUCGAAGGUUAAUUGAUGGGGUUAGCAUUAGCGAAGCUCUUGAUCGAAGCCCGAGUAAACGGCGGCCGUAACUAUAACGGUCCUAAGGUAGCGAAAUUCCUUGUCGGUUAAAUACCGACCUGCAUGAAUGGCGUAACGAGAUGGGAGCUGUCUCAAAGAGGGAUCCAGUGAAAUUGUAGUGGAGGUGAAAAUUCCUCCUACCCGCGGCAAGACGGAAAGACCCCGUGGACCUUUACUACAGCUUGACACUGCUACUUGGAUAAGAAUGUGCAGGAUAGGUGGGAGGCUUUGAGUAUAUGACGCCAGUUGUAUAUGAGCCAUUGUUGAGAUACCACUCUUUCUUAUUUGGGUAGCUAACCAGCUUGAGUUAUCCUCAAGUGGGACAAUGUCUGGUGGGUAGUUUGACUGGGGCGGUCGCCUCCCAAAUAAUAACGGAGGCUUACAAAGGUUGGCUCAGAACGGUUGGAAAUCGUUCGUAGAGUAUAAAGGUAUAAGCCAGCUUAACUGCAAGACAUACAAGUCAAGCAGAGACGAAAGUCGGUCUUAGUGAUCCGGUGGUUCUGUGUGGAAGGGCCAUCGCUCAAAGGAUAAAAGGUACCCCGGGGAUAACAGGCUGAUCUCCCCCAAGAGCUCACAUCGACGGGGAGGUUUGGCACCUCGAUGUCGGCUCAUCGCAUCCUGGGGCUGGAGCAGGUCCCAAGGGUAUGGCUGUUCGCCAUUUAAAGCGGUACGCGAGCUGGGUUCAGAACGUCGUGAGACAGUUCGGUCCCUAUCUGCCGUGGGCGUAAGAAGAUUGAAGAGAUUUGACCCUAGUACGAGAGGACCGGGUUGAACAAACCACUGGUGUAGCUGUUGUUCUGCCAAGAGCAUCGCAGCGUAGCUAAGUUUGGAAAGGAUAAACGCUGAAAGCAUCUAAGCGUGAAGCCAACUCUAAGAUGAAUCUUCUCUAAGCUCUCUAGAAGACUACUAGUUUGAUAGGCUGGGUGUGUAAUGGAUGAAAGUCCUUUAGCUGACCAGUACUAAUAGAGCGUUUGGCUUAUCUUUAAUAAAGCAU
rnacentral:rRNA from 1 species